rnacentral:rRNA from 1 species
UGGGGAAUAUUGCACAAUGGGCGCAAGCCUGAUGCAGCCAUGCCGCGUGUGUGAAGAAGGCCUUCGGUUGUAAGCACUUUCAGCGAGGAGGAAGGUGGUGAGCUUAAUACGCUCAUCAAUUGACGUUACUCGCAGAAGAAGCACCGGCUAACUCCGUGCCAGCAGCCGCGGUAAUACGGAGGGUGCAAGCGUUAAUCGGAAUUACUGGGCGUAAAGCGCACGCAGGCGGUUUGUUAAGUCAGAUGUGAAAUCCCCGGGCUCAACCUGGGAACUGCAUUUGAAACUGGCAAGCUAGAGUCUCGUAGAGGGGGGUAGAAUUCCAGGUGUAGCGGUGAAACGCGUAGAGAUCUGGAGGAAUACCGGUGGCGAAGGGCGGCCCCCUGGACGAAGACUGACGCUCAGGUGCGAAACGCGUGGGGAGCAAACAGGAUUAGAGUACCCUGGUAGUCCACGCUGUAAACGAUGUCGAUUUGGA